AUAUUAUAAUGAUUUUAUUUUUUAUUUGUAUAUAAUAAUGAUAAAUAUUAUAGUGAUUUUAUUUUUUAUUUAUAUAUAAUAGUGAUAAAUAUUAUAGUGAUUUUUGGAGAGACUUUGGUACGAAGAUGGUUCACUGUGUUUGGCAUGUGAAGUAUUUUCAUCCGUACGAGAAUACUUGAAAAGUGUUGAGAUAUCUUCGCUACCUAAACAUUUUUAAAGAGAGACAGCACUAGUGAAGUAA